CCCUUAGAUGUCCGGGGCCGCACGCGCGCUACACUGAAGGAAUCAGCGUGGCUCUGUCCCUGGUCCGAAAGGAUUGGGAAACCCGUUGAAUCUCCUUCGUGAUAGGGAUUGGGGCUUGGAACUGUUCCCCAUGAACGAGGAAUUCCCAGUAAGCGCGAGUCAUAAGCUCGCGUUGAUUACGUCCCUGCCCUUUGUACACACCGCCCGUCGCUCCUACCGAUUGAAUGGUCCGGUGAAGCGUUCGGACCGUGGCCUUUGGACGGUUCGCCGUCUGUUGGCUGCGGGAAGUUCGUUAAACCUUAUCAUUUAGAGGAAGGAGAAGUCGUAACA
rnacentral:rRNA from 1 species